AACGAACGCCGGCGGCAUGCCUAACACAUGCAAGUCGAACGAGAUCUUCGGGUCUAGUGGCGCACGGGUGCGUAACGCGUGGGAACCUGCCCUUUGGUUCGGAGUAACAGUUGGAAACGACUGCUAAUACCGGAUGAUGACGAAAGUCCAAAGAUUUAUCGCCAGAGGAUGAGCCCGCGUAGGAUUAGCUAGUUGGUGUGGUAAAGGCGCACCAAGGCGACGAUCCUUAGCUGGUCUGAGAGGAUGAUCAGCCAAACUGGGACUGAGACACGGCCCAGACUCCUACGGGAGGCAGCAGUGGGGAAUAUUGGACAAUGGGCGAAAGCCUGAUCCAGCAAUGCCGCGUGAGUGAUGAAGGCCUUAGGGUUGUAAAGCUCUUUUACCCGGGAUGAUAAUGACAGUACCGGGAGAAUAAGCUCCGGCUAACUCCGUGCCAGCAGCCGCAGUAA
rnacentral:rRNA from 1 species